rnacentral:rRNA from 1 species
UACGUAGGUGGCAAGCGUUGUCCGGAUUUACUGGGCGUAAAGAGCGCGCAGGCGGUCGUUCAAGUCGCGUGUGAAAGCCCCCGGCUCAACUGGGGAGGGUCACGCGAUACUGAUCGACUCGAAGGCAGGAGAGGGAAGUGGAAUUCCCGGUGUAGUGGUGAAAUGCGCAGAUAUCAGGAGGAACACCGGUGGCGAAGGCGGGUCUCUGGGCCGUAACUGACGCUGAGGAGCGAAAGCGUGGGGAGCAAACAGG